rnacentral:lncRNA from 1 species
UUCAGAGCCUUCGGCACCGGCGGAGGCACGGGAUCGCGGCAAGGGGAUCGCUUAGCUAGCUAGCGAGGAGCGGUACUUUGCCUAGGUGGUUUACUCUUUUUUUUUGUAGUUGAGAGAGUGAGAGGUUUUUGUAUCCAUAUAUAGAGACCACCUAUGUAUCUACCUAUAGCACUUGUAUCUGGGAUUUGCUUGUAUUACUUUAUGCUUUUAUUAGUGGAUUUACAGUCUAUCCUUAUCCUUUGUUGUAGCAUUUAGACAUUUAUUAUGCUCUGAUACUCCUAGUUGCCUUUUAUUAUUGCUUUUAUUAUUGUUGUUUUUAGACGCCUUAUACGUUUUAGACGUAUGGCGGGUCUGGGCACGUGCCGGGCGGGCUUCCGCUGGGUCCCGGGGCGUGACAAUAGGAUGGACCUAGAGACCCUUAGGAAUGGAAGACCUUAAGGAUCUAGGAAACGUGAGUGACGUUGAACAAGAUAUAGUGAAGGCAUAGAUUGGGUUGAUGUAAUUAUAUCUCUA